UGUAAUGUCAUCUUGUCAACUCCAAACUCAAUUCAUUUCUCAUGUCUUUUUCACUGCGAGAAUGUGAAACUUUCAAAAGGGGAAAGGCAAAAUAGGAGGAAAGAUUCAUAUCACACAAACAUCUCUCUUUGUUUCUUUGAUAGGUAUCAUUUCAUUGGAAUCACUUUUUCAUUAUUUUAACCCAUUACUUUGUCCAAUCAACCAUCUCUUCAUCCUAUCCAUCCACAUGGUAAAUCAAUUCUAUUUGCUAGUUAUUAUAUCAUGUUUGCCCACUUGCAUGUACCUAGCUAACAUUGAUGAUUUUUAGUGGUUAACUUUUUAGCAGUGUCUAAUAUAGACAAGAAACAAUUGUUGCAGCAACUUUAAACAAAGCGCUUAAUGAAAUGAGAGAGAGAGAGAGAGAGAGAGAGAGAGAAAGAAAGCAAUGAUUUUACCAAAGAUGGAGGAGUUGGGUUAGCAACCACAAUCUUCAAGAUCCAUUAAUGGGAUGAGUGAGACUUGAUAGUCAUAGCACAAGGAUGUAUUGUACCUAGUGGAGGAGGCUGAUGUUUACACUUCCACAGCAAAUAUGUCUAAGCCUUGAAAAAAGAAUAGUUGCAAUAGAUUCUUUUGUUUCUUUUUUCCUUUUGGUGUGUUCUUUAAAUUUUUUUUUUUCUUUUUCUUUUCUCUUGGCAAUGUUUCAUCCAUAGUGGGGUUAUUUGGAUUCAAAAUUGCAAUAACUAAUAUCUUUAUCUUUAGCAUUAUUCCACCCAUCACACCAAAAUAAUCCAUCCAUGUAAAGUAGACUCAUGGCAGGUCAUUGAAUUUCCCCACAUAAAGGAGGAGAAAAAAUAUAUAUUUUGAUUGUGUGAGAUAUGAUUUUCUAGUUGAAUAAUGGGGUUUAUGCCUUCUUCCUUUUAGGGUUUGUGGAUUCUUCUCUUGACCCACCAUGCCUUUUCAAAUGAAAAUUAUAAUACCCAUUACUCCCCUUUAUUAGCAUAGUAGAAUGAGCAUGUACAGAGUAAGAGGAGGGAUGCAUCAUCAAUAACCUUGCCAAUUAAAUUAGUUAGAUUUAUGUUACCCCAAUAUUAUGCUUAAUUAAACCUUAUUUCUCUCACCAAACAUUACUAAAUUGGUUUUUGAAAUAUAUAAUGAAAGUAGUCUUAUCAACCACUGGUUCACAUAUGUCUCUUGCUUUUUAUUUUUCUAAAAGAAAAUAAUAAUACUCAUUAAGAAAUGCCACCUUAGGGCCAUCAAGAACUUAGCUUGACUUGCUCUAUUAGAUGGCUUGUGAUGUGGGCACAUGAUGGGCCUUCAUGUAGAAAUUAGAAAAAGAAAAUAAGAUGCAUUAAUGGAAAAAAAAGGAAAAGAAAAGAAAAGGCGAAACAAAAUCAAUUGCAAGAUGAUGGACUAGAACAUGAGAGAGGCUUUUUUCACAAAGGAAGAAAAGUUAGGGUUCC
rnacentral:lncRNA from 1 species